rnacentral:rRNA from 1 species
AGCGAACGCUGGCGGCAGGCUUAACACAUGCAAGUCGAGCGGGCGUAGCAAUACGUCAGCGGCAGACGGGUGAGUAACGCGUGGGAACGUACCUUUUGGUUCGGAACAACCCAGGGAAACUUGGGCUAAUACCGGAUAAGCCCUUACGGGGAAAGAUUUAUCGCCGAAAGAUCGGCCCGCGUCUGAUUAGCUAGUUGGUGAGGUAACGGCUCACCAAGGCGACGAUCAGUAGCUGGUCUGAGAGGAUGAUCAGCCACAUUGGGACUGAGACACGGCCCAAACUCCUACGGGAGGCAGCAGUGGGGAAUAUUGGACAAUGGGCGCAAGCCUGAUCCAGCCAUGCCGCGUGGAGGAUGACGGCCUUCGG